GAUGAACGCUGGCGGCGUGCCUAAUACAUGCAAGUCGAGCGAACAGACGAGGAGCUUGCUCCUCUGACGUUAGCGGCGGACGGGUGAGUAACACGUGGAUAACCUACCUAUAAGACUGGGAUAACUUCGGGAAACCGGAGCUAAUACCGGAUAAUAUAUUGAACCGCAUGGUUCAAUAGUGAAAGACGGUUUUGCUGUCACUUAUAGAUGGAUCCGCGCCGCAUUAGCUAGUUGGUAAGGUAACGGCUUACCAAGGCAACGAUGCGUAGCCGACCUGAGAGGGUGAUCGGCCACACUGGAACUGAGACACGGUUCAGACUCCUACGGGAGGCAGCAGUAGGGAAUCUUCCGCAAAGGGCGAAAGCCUGACGGAGCAACGCCGCGUGAGUGAUGAAGGUCUUCGGAUCGUAAAACUCUGUUAUUAGGGAAGAACAAAUGUGUAAGUAACUAUGCACGUCUUGACGGUACCUAAUCAGAAAGCCACGGCUAACUACGUG
rnacentral:rRNA from 1 species